AGUGUAGGCGGCUACUUAAGUCGGAUGUGAAAGCCCCGGGCUCAACCUGGGAAUUGCAUUCGAAACUGGGUAGCUAGAGUUUGGUAGAGGUAAGUGGAAUUCCGGGUGUAGCGGUGAAAUGCGUAGAUAUCCGGAGGAACAUCAGUGGCGAAGGCGGCUUACUGGACCAAAACUGACACUGAGGCUCGAAAGCGUGGGGAGCAAACAGGAUUAGAUACCCUGGUAGUCC
rnacentral:rRNA from 1 species